GGGUUGUGAGGUUAAGCGACUAAGCGUACACGGUGGAUGCCCUGGCAGUCAGAGGCGAUGAAGGGCGUGCUAAUCUGCGAUAAGCGCCGGUAAGGUGAUAUGAACCGUUAUAACCGGCGAUACCCGAAUGGGGAAACCCAGUGUGAUUCGUCACACUAUCAUUAACUGAAUCCAUAGGUUAAUGAGGCGAACCGGGGGAACUGAAACAUCUAAGUACCCCGAGGAAAAGAAAUCAACCGAGAUUCCCCCAGUAGCGGCGAGCGAACGGGGAGGAGCCCAGAGCCUGAAUCAGCAUGUGUGUUAGUGGAAGCGUCUGGAAAGGCGCGCGAUACAGGGUGACAGCCCCGUACACAAAAGCGCAUGUGCUGUGAGCUCGAUGAGUAGGGCGGGACACGUGGUAUCCUGUCUGAAUAUGGGGGGACCAUCCUCCAAGGCUAAAUACUCCUGACUGACCGAUAGUGAACCAGUACCGUGAGGGAAAGGCGAAAAGAACCCCGGCGAGGGGAGUGAAAAAGAACCUGAAACCGUGUACGUACAAGCAGUGGGAGCACAGGUUUACCUGUGUGACUGCGUACCUUUUGUAUAAUGGGUCAGCGACUUAUAUUCUGUAGCAAGGUUAACCGAAUAGGGGAGCCGGAGGGAAACCGAGUCUUAAUUGGGCGUUAAGUUGCAGGGUAUAGACCCGAAACCCGGUGAUCUAGCCAUGGGCAGGUUGAAGGUUGGGUAACACUAACUGGAGGACCGAACCGACUAAUGUUGAAAAAUUAGCGGAUGACCUGUGGCUGGGGGUGAAAGGCCAAUCAAACCGGGAGAUAGCUGGUUCUCCCCGAAAGCUAUUUAGGUAGCGCCUCGUGAAUUCAUCUCCGGGGGUAGAGCACUGUUUCGGCUAGGGGGCCAUCCCGGCUUACCAACCCGAUGCAAACUGCGAAUACCGGAGAAUGUUAUCACGGGAGACACACGGCGGGUGCUAACGUCCGUCGUGAAGAGGGAAACAACCCAGACCGCCAGCUAAGGUCCCAAAGUCAUGGUUAAGUGGGAAACGAUGUGGGAAGGCCCAGACAGCCAGGAUGUUGGCUUAGAAGCAGCCAUCAUUUAAAGAAAGCGUAAUAGCUCACUGGUCGAGUCGGCCUGCGCGGAAGAUGUAACGGGGCUAAACCAUGCACCGAAGCUGCGGCAGCGACGCUUAUGCGUUGUUGGGUAGGGGAGCGUUCUGUAAGCCUGUGAAGGUGGCCUGUGAGGGUUGCUGGAGGUAUCAGAAGUGCGAAUGCUGACAUAAGUAACGAUAAAGCGGGUGAAAAGCCCGCUCGCCGGAAGACCAAGGGUUCCUGUCCAACGUUAAUCGGGGCAGGGUGAGUCGACCCCUAAGGCGAGGCCGAAAGGCGUAGUCGAUGGGAAACGGGUUAAUAUUCCCGUACUUGGUGUUACUGCGAAGGGGGGACGGAGAAGGCUAUGUUGGCCGGGCGACGGUUGUCCCGGUUUAAGCGUGUAGGUGUGUGUUCCAGGUAAAUCCGGUUCACUUUAACACUGAGGCGUGAUGACGAGGCACUACGGUGCUGAAGUAACAAAUGCCCUGCUUCCAGGAAAAGCCUCUAAGCAUCAGGUAACAUCAAAUCGUACCCCAAACCGACACAGGUGGUCAGGUAGAGAAUACCAAGGCGCUUGAGAGAACUCGGGUGAAGGAACUAGGCAAAAUGGUGCCGUAACUUCGGGAGAAGGCACGCUGACACGUAGGUGAAGUGAUUUACUCACGGAGCUGAAGUCAGUCGAAGAUACCAGCUGGCUGCAACUGUUUAUUAAAAACACAGCACUGUGCAAACACGAAAGUGGACGUAUACGGUGUGACGCCUGCCCGGUGCCGGAAGGUUAAUUGAUGGGGUCAGCGCAAGCGAAGCUCCUGAUCGAAGCCCCGGUAAACGGCGGCCGUAACUAUAACGGUCCUAAGGUAGCGAAAUUCCUUGUCGGGUAAGUUCCGACCUGCACGAAUGGCGUAAUGAUGGCCAGGCUGUCUCCACCCGAGACUCAGUGAAAUUGAACUCGCUGUGAAGAUGCAGUGUACCCGCGGCAAGACGGAAAGACCCCGUGAACCUUUACUAUAGCUUGACACUGAACAUUGAGCCUUGAUGUGUAGGAUAGGUGGGAGGCUUUGAAGUGUGGACGCCAGUCUGCAUGGAGCCGACCUUGAAAUACCACCCUUUAAUGUUUGAUGUUCUAACGUGGACCCGUUACCCGGGUUGCGGACAGUGUCUGGUGGGUAGUUUGACUGGGGCGGUCUCCUCCUAAAGAGUAACGGAGGAGCACGAAGGUUGGCUAAUCCUGGUCGGACAUCAGGAGGUUAGUGCAAUGGCAUAAGCCAGCUUGACUGCGAGCGUGACGGCGCGAGCAGGUGCGAAAGCAGGUCAUAGUGAUCCGGUGGUUCUGAAUGGAAGGGCCAUCGCUCAACGGAUAAAAGGUACUCCGGGGAUAACAGGCUGAUACCGCCCAAGAGUUCAUAUCGACGGCGGUGUUUGGCACCUCGAUGUCGGCUCAUCACAUCCUGGGGCUGAAGUAGGUCCCAAGGGUAUGGCUGUUCGCCAUUUAAAGUGGUACGCGAGCUGGGUUUAGAACGUCGUGAGACAGUUCGGUCCCUAUCUGCCGUGGGCGCUGGAGAACUGAGGGGGGCUGCUCCUAGUACGAGAGGACCGGAGUGGACGCAUCACUGGUGUUCGGGUUGUCAUGCCAAUGGCACUGCCCGGUAGCUAAAUGCGGAAGAGAUAAGUGCUGAAAGCAUCUAAGCACGAAACUUGCCCCGAGAUGAGUUCUCCCUGAGACUUAAAGUCUCCUGAAGGAACGUUGAAGACGACGACGUUGAUAGGCCGGGUGUGUAAGCGCAGCGAUGCGUUGAGCUAACCGGUACUAAUGAACCGUGAGGCUUAACCCUACAACGCCGAAG
rnacentral:rRNA from 1 species